rnacentral:tRNA from 1 species
ACGGCGACGGAGCGGUUGCCCGCGCCGAUCUGCUCGCCGGUGAACACGUCGAAGGGUUCCACGCUUUCGAGCAGCGUGCCGCCGUG